GACGAACGCUGGCGGCGUGCCUAAUACAUGCAAGUAGGACGCAGUUGCGAACGGGUGAGUAACGCGUAGGUAACUACCUAUUAGAGGGGGAUAACUAUUGGAAACGAUAGCGAAUACCGCAUACUCGUAGAUGGACAUGCGUUGUAUUAGAUAGUAGGUAGGGUAAAAGCCUACACAGGCAACGAUACAUAGCCGACCUGGGAGGGUGGUCGGCCAAACUGGGACUGAGACACGGCCCAGACUCCUUCGGGAGGCAGCAGUAGGGAAUCUUCGGCAAUGGGUGGAACCCUGACCGAGCAACGCCGCGGGAGUGAAGAAGGUUUUCGGAUCGUAAAGCUUUGUUGUUAAGGAAGCGGUACUUAACCAGAAAGGGACGGCUAACUACGUGCCAGCCGCCGCGGUAAUUC
rnacentral:rRNA from 1 species